rnacentral:rRNA from 1 species
GUGUCGCAGCCGCGGUAAUGCGGAGGGAGCGAGCGUUAAUCGGAAUUACUGGGCGUAAAGCGCAUGCAGGUGGUGGAUUAAGUCAGAUGUGAAAGCCCGGGGCUCAACCUCGGAACCGCAUUUGAAACUGGUUCACUAGAGUACUGUAGAGGAGGGUAGAAUUUCAGGUGUAGCGGUGAAAUGCGUAGAGAUCUGAAGGAAUACCGGUGGCGAAGGCGGCCCCCUGGACAGAUACUGACACUCGGAUGCGAAAGCGUGGGGAGCAAACAGGAUUAGAAACCCGUGUAGUCC